UACGGGGGGGCAAGCGUUGUUCGGAAUUACUGGGCGUAAAGGGCUCGUAGGUGGCCAACUAAGUCUAGACGUGAAAUCCCUCGGCUUAACCGGGGGAACUGCGUCUGAUACUGGAUGGCUUGAGUUUGGGAGAGGGAUGCGGGAAUUCCAGGUGUAGCGGUGAAAUGCGUAGAUAUCUGGAGGAACACCGGUGGCGAAAGCGGCAUCCUGGACCAACACUGACACUGAGGAGCGAAAGCCAGGGGAGCAA
rnacentral:rRNA from 1 species